CCCGUGAAGGGUUUAAAGUGGGCACAUACCUUAAAUUUUCUUUGUUAAUCUCACCUCUCUCAAGUCUCAACCGGGAAGGUAACCCAAUGAUGCAGGCACUGUUCAGAAGAACGAAGUGCAUUGUUUCCCACUCUUCUCAUUUCCAUUCCAUUUUACGGGAUUCUUCACCUGUGAACUAUUUAUCUCGAUAUUCCUUAAAUUUUCAUACUUGUUUGGAAUACUCAUUAAAUAGUUCUUUUUAUAAGCCGUGGGAUUCUAAUAGAUACAUUAUUUCUGGUGAUGUUGCCUCCAGAUGGCUAUGUGUUAGGCAUAUGAGCAGUUCAUCUGUUGGGAUAAAGGCUGAUAAUGGUGUUGUUAGGUUUUGUUUCGGCGAUUCGCCUGAUCAGAAGGGUAAUGUAGGUGUUGUCACUGAUGAAGGAAGGGGGAGGAUGAUGAAAAAGAAGAAGAAUUCAAGGAAGUCCAAGCUGAAUGAACUGAGGUUUUACCGCCUGAAGGCGAAGAAGAAGAUGAAAUCAUCGAAUCCCGAAGUUAGGAUUAGAUAUAAGCUUGGGAAGGCAAAACGAAAGGAAGCUUGGCUGAUUGAAAAAUUGAGGAAGUUGGAGUUACCUAAGCCUCCAGCUGAAACAUAUGAUCCUGAGAGUUUAACAGAGGAAGAGAGAUUUUAUUUGAAACGUACGGGCGAGAAAAAGAAGAAUUAUGUACCUGUUGGGAGAAGAGGAGUCUUUGGAGGAGUUGUACUCAAUAUGCAUCUGCAUUGGAAAAAGCAUGAAACAGUUAAGGUUGUUUGCAAACCCUGUAAACCUGGACAGGUUCAUGAAAUUGCUGAAGAGCUUGCUCGGCUGAGCAAAGGUAUUGUUAUUGACAUAAAACCUGACAACACUGUAAUAUUUUAUCGUGGAAAGAAUUAUGUGCGACCAGAAGUUAUGUCUCCUCCUGAUACACUGUCGAAGACAAAGGCCUUGGAGAAGUAUAAAUAUGAACAAUCCCUUGAGCAUACAAGUGAGUUUAUCGAAAAAUUGGAGGAGCAGCUGGAAGAGUAUCAUGAACACCUUACUCGGUUCAGGAGAGGAAAAGAUAAUGCAUCAAAAGAUUCUAGAGCACUUGAUUAAUGCUUGCACAAGGAAGGCGAUAGUAUCUUUGAGUCUGCAAAGUGCAAACCUUCUUGUAUCUAUAGGCAGCAUUCUCUGCCUGCUUUUCGGGCUACAUCUUUUUGCGCGUCUCCACUGAAUGGCUAAACAUUUUAAAAUGCUGAAAGGCUUGAAGUUCCUUUGUAACGCAGCAAAGUUGCAGUCUUUUUAAAGGGAACGACCGUUUUGUUUCAAUAUUGAAGUGAAGCAGCUUGUUAUAUGGUGGAGAACUCCUGUUUAUAGGCUUCAAAUCUGUGAUGCUUUGAUCAAUUAUCGUUCAAGGGUUGCUACUAGAAGAUAUUCUGAAGAGGGCAACUCUGCGAUGGACACUAUAAUGAUGGUAACUUGGCCACAAGGAUGGACAUAGAUCAUGGAAGAAUAUUUUGGUGCAAAGAAUCUUGAACUAAUUGGUGUAUGUUCCAAGAAGUAUCCUAGUUGAGAAAUGAUUUGUUAGUCUUGGCCGAAUGCAGCUGGAGCUGAAUAGCAAUGGAUUGCAGAGGAAACACUCCAAUUGAUUAGUAUGCUGAAGAGAUUUCUUGUGUUCUACGUGGACAGUACCCCAAGAGAGGUGGAGGCUUCGUUAUGCUGAUCGGGAGUUCAUUUACCAUACAUCCGGUUAUCCGGGUGUAGGUAGAUCAUGGUAUAUUGGUAUAUCACAUUCUCUUCUAUCAUCAUAAAGACAUAAAGCACAUGGAUGGAGAAUGUGGGAGGAUGUAUGUUGCAUAUUGUAGUUAAUCGGAGGCUAAUAUAGGAUUCUAGGUUCUUUUGUCCGCUAUACUUUUGAUUUGAGUGUCAUGUGUAAAUGUUUGGCUUUUGUGCCACUAUGUGCAAGUUGGAUUUGAAGUUGUUAGUACACAUUGCAAUUU